rnacentral:rRNA from 1 species
UACGAAGGGGGCUAGCGUUGCUCGGAAUUACUGGGCGUAAAGGGCGCGUAGGCGGAUACUUAAGUCGGGGGUGAAAGCCCAGGGCUCAACCCUGGAACAGCCUUCGAUACUGGGUAUCUUGAGUACGGGAGAGGUGUGUGGAACUCCGAGUGUAGAGGUGAAAUUCGUAGAUAUUCGGAAAAACACCAGUGGCGAAGGCGACACACUGGCCCGUUACUGACGCUGAGGCGCGAAAGCGUGGGGAGCAAACAGG